rnacentral:rRNA from 1 species
UGAAGAACGCAGCGAAAUGCGMUAAGUAAUGUGAAUUGCAGAAUUCAGUGAAUCAUCGAAUCUUUGAACGCACCUUGCGCUCCUUGGUAUUCCGAGGAGCAUGCCUGUUYGAGUGUCAUGAAAUUCUCAAACCUCUUAUUAUAUUUUUAUAUGAUGAGGGAGUUUGGACGUGGAAGCAUGCGGGCCUCUCUGAUGAGGUCGGCUCUUCUUAAAUGCAUUAGCAAGGACCUAUUCUUUUGCUGGCCUUGGUGUGAUAAUUAUCUACGCCGUUGGCUUAAAGAUGUGGUCUGGCUUUCUAAUCGUCUCUUUAUUU